GGAGUUAAGAAAUGUAAGGAUGUUAAUAGCGUCUUUACUUGACUAAGGCUCCGGAGGAAGCCACGGCUAACUCUGUGCCAGCAGCCGCGGUAAUACAGAGGCGGCAAGCGUUGUUCGGAAUUAUUGGGCGUAAAGAGCACGUAGGCGGCUAUGUAAGUCGGUUGUGAAAGCCUUCCGCUCAACGGGAGAACAGCAUCCGAUACUGCAUGGCUUGAGUGUGGGAGGAGAGAGUGGAACUUCUGGU
rnacentral:rRNA from 1 species